rnacentral:rRNA from 1 species
UCUUGGUCAUUUAGAGGAAGUAAAAGUCGUAACAAGGUUUCCGUAGGUGAACCUGCGGAAGGAUCAUUACUGAAAAACUUCAAAGUUUUUUAUAUCCCAUUGUCUACCUAUCAUGUUGCUUCCACCGGACAUCUUUUACCUUGUGUAAGACCUUUGACUUGUGUGAAUAACCCAAGUCAGGGAGUUGCCGGUGGCAAGACCAUCUACCAAAACUUGAUUAAAGUACUUUGUCUGAAUCUUUUGCUUCAAUGAAAUAAAACUUUCAACAACGGAUCUCUAGGCUCUUGCAUCGAUGAAGAACGCAGUGAAAUGCGAUAAGUAAUGUGAAUUGCAGAAUCUCGUGAAUCAUCGAAUCUUUGAACGCACAUUGCGCCCUAUGGUAUUCCGUAGGGCAUGCCUGUCUGAGCGUCAGCUCCCACCCACUCAAGUAUCUUUUUUGCAGGAUUCUUGGAAUAAUUUGGAGAGGUAUCUUGUCACAGAGAUGUCCUCCAGAAAUCUAUAGGCAGUAUGGUUUGUACCUGAACCAGACGUAAUAAUAAUAAAAUCGUUUGUUUGGGAAUAAUUGUGCUUGCCUUAACCCACCCAUUUUUUUUAUUUGGGUGACCUCAGAUCAGGUAGGGAUACCCGCUGAACUUAAGCAUAUCAAUAAGCGGAGGAA